GAUGAACGCUGGCGGCGUGCCUAAUACAUGCAAGUCGAGCGAACGGACGAGAAGCUUGCUUUUCUGAUGUUAGCGGCGGACGGGUGAGUAACACGUGGAUAACCUACCUAUAAGACUGGGAUAACUUCGGGAAACCGGAGCUAAUACCGGAUAAUAUUUUGAACCGCAUGGUUCAAAAGUGAAAGACGGUCUUGCUGUCACUUAUAGAUGGAUCCGCGCUGCAUUAGCUAGUUGGUAAGGUAACGGCUUACCAAGGCAACGAUGCAUAGCCGACCUGAGAGGGUGAUCGGCCACACUGGAACUGAGACACGGUCCAGACUACUACGGGAGGCAGCAGUAGGGAAUCUUCCGCAAUGGGCGAAAGCCUGACGGAGCAACGCCGCGUGAGUGAUGAAGGUCUUCGGAUCGUAAAACUCUGUUAUUAGGGAAGAACAUAUGUGUAAGUAACUGUGCACAUCUUGACGGUACCUAAUCAGAAAGCCACGGCUAACUACGUA
rnacentral:rRNA from 1 species